GCCGAAAUGGCGGAACUGGUAGACGCACUGGACUCAAAAUCCAGCGGGACUUAAAUCCCGUAAGGGUUCGACUCCUUUUUCGGCA
rnacentral:tRNA from 1 species